CUACGAGGGGUGCAAGCGUUAAUCGGAAUUACUGGGCGUAAAGCGUGCGUAGGUGGUUUGUUAAGCAAGAUGUGAAAGCCCUGGGCUCAACCUGGGAACUGCAUUUUGAACUGGCAGACUAGAGAAUUGUAGAGGGUAGUGGAAUUUCCAGUGUAGCGGUGAAAUGCGUAGAGAUUGGAAGGAACAUCAGUGGCGAAGGCGGCUACCUGGACAAAUACUGACACUGAGGCACGAAAGCGUGGGGAGCAAACAGGAUUAGAUACCCUAGUAGUCC
rnacentral:rRNA from 1 species